AAAGAGUCUUCAGAUACAUGUGACUUAGAACAAAUGACAGAAGAGACAGACACUGAAAGUGACACAUCAGAAAAGGAACUUAGCUUCGAAGAACGAAUACAAAGAAAAUUCAAAGGAUAUUUUCCUUUGCCGGUAGGAAACCUCAAAGAGCCAUCAUCUACAAAUCUCGUGAGAGUUCCAGAUGAAUCCCAUACCAAACAGUUAGAAAAGGAAUUUAGGAGAAAACCUUUCAACUACU